GUGCAGCUGGUUGGCAACUUGAUUGUUCUGUAAUCAUCUGGCAUUGGUUCCACCUGGGUAAUGUCAGUUACCUUGAGGUCAAGAGUCAGCGUGGUAGGAGGGGUGAGCUUAUUAUGAACCUACAUAUCGGGUUAUUAUAGGUCUACGAUUUUAUUAUCAGUGUUUUGAUAAGUCUAAUAAGUAGAGGAGAGGAGGAUUCUGACCCAGAUUAACUUUUGUCACUGUAUGAAAAAGUGGGUGUCUGACAUCGGUAUUUGUUGUUUUACAUAAAAUACAUUAGAUACCAAUAUCUUCUUUUCUGCAGACCAGGUUGAGGGAAUGUGCAGUCAGCACUUCGACAAUAUUAUAGAGUAUAUUAUAACUGUGUGUCAUAAUAUUUGUGGGUGUUAAAACCAGUCAGCCAGCCGCCAUGUCAGGUAUGCUGUAGACAGCUAUUUUAUCUCCAAGGUUACUGACAACACCAGCAAGUGUGAGGCAUUGAGUGAAACUGCACAUUUUCGACUGGCCUUUUUGUUGUGGCCAGCCUAAGGCAUGCCUGUGCGAUACCCAUGAUGUCUGAUCAGCAUCUUGAUACACCUGUGAGGUGGAUGGAUUAUCUCGGCAGUGAAAUAGAGCGCCAUCUGCUGUGCCGGGUGGCAGCAGCUGUGUAUGAUACUGGUGAAGCAGAGAUGCUUGGUUGACGGGAGAUGUGACCUGAGGAUUGGUACUCCAACAUCACCGGGAGACAAGCCAGCCACAAAGAUGGAGGAGCAUCUCUUCCAAGGCAGGGAGAUGGAGGAUCACAACAAGUUUAUCAUGGAUUUACCGAGUGGACUUGGGUACAAAAUUAUAAGCUGUCUUCAAUGUUUUAUGCAACACACAGAAACACAAAAAUAAGGAAAUCUUAAUAAACAUAACUGUAGAUCAUUCUGGUGAAUGAUUAUGUUUGCGUUCUAUAUGGACACUACAAAACACCGUACCUGAGGAAGUGCGCAUGCGCACUAGUUUACCUCUCCUGUGUGUACAUCACCCGCCAGGUUGUUAGUAUAGCUUGUUGCCUGUGGCUGUGUAAGUUCAUUAUACUCAACAGAAGUUUAUGUAAUAAACACAUCUGGCUUGGAUUCAAUCUACGGACUCCUCACUCAUUUCUAUAAUGACUUUACAGCAUUAAAGUCAAGAGUGAUGUAAUAUGUAUCCUUUAUCAAUAAACAAUCAGAAUGGAUCAUCUAUGAGGAUUACUCAAUCCAACUACCUGUAGCAGAUACAUGUGAGUAACACACACACACAUUGACAGCUUUAAUUAUGUUUAUCAUGUCAUGACAAACACAGAAGACAUACAAGUGUUUUUACAGGCGGAGUAGAACUUUUGACUUUGAUGUAUAAUCUUGGUGGAGUGCCCAUUUAAUACACAUGUAAACACAACAAGACCAUGGAACAUCCUUGACCUUGUUUAAUCUUGUAUGUCCACAGGAUGAGGCACAAUGUCUACAGAAGUAAAUUUCUCACUGUGUUCCCUGGCUCUGCUCAGGCCUUGUAUCCACUCACAAUUUAACAUCUGGAGUGGGUGGAGCAAAUGUCAGGGCUUGGGGAGGCACACAGGCCUUGGUUUGGAAAUAUAGCCACAGAUGGACUGAAGAUGGACCGUUAAAGGAUGGAUUUCAAGAUUUCUUGGUCCUCUGCAGAGUUUUUCUUCUUCUAACUGAGCUCCAAAAUUCCAGUCACCUAACAAUGAAGAAUUGUGGUUGCUCCCAUCUCCAGGCUGUCAGGUUCAGUUCAGUUGGCAAGUUCUCUGGAGCAGCAAAAUGAGCCUUGGGUACGCGAGCAGUACCUGGGGAAGGAUUCAAGUGCCUCCAUGCUGCUUCAUUUGCCAUGGCGACCUCCGGCUGUGAUGUCUGCGCCAACAUCCCUUUAGGAGUGAACAAGUUCAGAUGGAAGGUAAUA